rnacentral:tRNA from 1 species
AUUAUUUUGGCAGAAUAGUGCAUUAAAUUUAGAAUUUAAAUAUGUAAUUUAUAUAUUACAAAUAAUAC